GCACCUGCAAAAUCAGGUGCCGGGAUUGGAACCCCGAUGAACCUCACUGGCGACGAGACGCCAACGCGUCUUUUUU
rnacentral:sRNA from 1 species